UGAUUCUUAAGUGGAAAAGGCAAGGUGAAGAUUAAUAGUAAGUAAACGUUGCUAGUCAGUAAUCUUUAAGGAUUUUUCGGUUGCGUGUUGGUUUCCUAUAUCUGCUGCCUUCUGCUGUCAUAUUUAAAGCCAUUGCUUUCUUUACUGCUCACAUCUCUUUUACGUGUUUUAAAAUAUUUGUUUACUUUAGGAGUUUUGUAAUAGGCUACCAUGUAAACUAAGUUUGGAGAUUAUAUAACAGAUGGACUCUUUAUUUUAAGAAUAUAUUUCUAAACUUGGGUCGUAAAUCGUUUUCACAGCAGUAGUCUAAUUAGCAAAGGCCACUGGAAUAGGUAAGCAGCUGUAAAAACAGUAUGCUACAUAAAAUUCUAAAAAAAAAUUUUAUGUGAAACAAAAAUAACUGUUUCAUUUUUUUAAGAAUAUUCAGUUCUUCUAUUUUCAACGGCUUUUGAAUGGAAGACAAUUACAAAGCUAAAAAAAUGUUUGAUAAAUUAAAAAAAAAAUAAUAAAAAAUUCUCUCUUGAGAAAAUUUUAAAAUUUCCAAGUUUCCGUAGCAUCUGUAACUAGUUAAGUACCUAAAUGAUGAAAAUAAACGAAAUGUAUGAAAAUAUCCUACUCGAAAGAUUAAUUAGCUGUGCUGAAAGUAACAGGAAUUUAGCAAUGUCAUAUGCGAAAAGUACGAAUAAAAGUACAAGAAUAAAGCAAAAUCUCUAAACCUUAAUUCUCACAAACACUAACAAACGUCAGGUAUACUGCAUGGAAUGUUACAUCCUUAUCAUUGUUUCCUGCACAUUGUUGCAGGCACAGUUGUUAAACAGAGCUCAAAGACUUGCAUUAUGUUGUUGUUGAUAGUUUCUAGACAAUUUUCAUGGAAGCAAGCACUCAGCUGGCCUUCCAGGUGCUGAUUUUCUUCGAAUGCUUCUAAUAUAGAUUCCUUUGUAAAUAACUGUUUACUUUCCUUUAUUUUCAUUUUACCAAUUCACAGUUUCUGAUUUCCUUUUCAUGCUUUCCUGCUACUUUGACCUCCUUAAUUAGUAAUCCUUUGUUCAAGCUAAUCUUUCGCCAUUGUCAUUGAUCAUCUAAGUGAUCUUUUGUUACAUUGCAUCGCUUUUCUUUUGUGUUUUCGUACUUCGUUAGGAUAUUAUUUCUAUGACCUUUUUGGAAAUUACUUCCUUUUCUCUGCCUUUUAUUAUUCUGUUCGCCUGUUCGUUCGACCUUUAUUAAUUAGCAAACUCUAUUCUUUAAUUAUACUUCUAAACCGCAGUGCCAAUAGAACUAAUUAUUGUUAUAAUACUAAUUGUUAUAGCCACACUGACCUCUAACACUGUUGAUGUCUUUAUUUAGGACUUUUUGUGUAAAUUUAACUUAGAAACACCUCCUUAAAUGUUGAGCUCCUGUUAAAAUGACUUUUAUUAAUUAACUUCCUGCUCUGUCGUUUGCCGAAAAUAUAAUUAAGGUUGGUCACGUCUUAAAAGUAGUUCAAAAUUAUAAGGACACAAACAUUUGUGUGACCUCCUGUGAAAUAUAGAUUAGAAGCUGAUCAUAUUUUGAACACUGUGUGCAUUGAGAAUUUACCAUAUAUACUACAAUAUAUAUUUGUAGUUACCUAUAUGUGCAUUAUUUUCCUGUCUUGUGCUCAUGUUACGAAAAUUCUCAAAACUACUUCCUUAAGUUCCUUUUCUUUUACUUUGUACAUGACCUUCGUUCUUGUGAUCCUCUCAUACUCCCUUUUAAGCAUUUGUCUACUUUCUCUAAAGCUGUUAGCCUAUUUAUAUGCUCUUUAAUAAUUGAACUCCUGCCGUGCAAGAAUUUUUUUAACGUAAUUGUUUUGCGAAGCAUUUUAUAAAAAGUACGGAUCUUCUAGCCGAGCGCCGUUGAUUUAAUGUGACCUGACAAGUGUGUUGUAGUAUGCUUCUGAUUUCAUUUCGUUGCCUGAUUGUUAUAUGAAAUGCUUUUAACAAAUCAAAGCAUGUACUUGCAGGCAUAUGAAAGUGCCUUACUAUCUGAUCGGUGAUGAUGUGAUGUGACCUUAAGAUCAUAUGAUCUAUUUAUAUUGAGGUGAUUGAACUUUUUUAGCGCUCUUAGCUGCUCCACUUAUAAAAGCAGUGGAAAAACCGUCUUUUAGUCGAUUUUCAUGACCUUUGUGUGACCACAUUAGUGCGAUGUGAUAUGCCUAUGACGCGAUAACUAGCUGAAAUUCAUAUUCCUGGGCGCUGAAAACAUCAAAAAUAAUGUUUGCCUUUGGUCAAUGGUAAUUGUUUAGCGUGAUUUUGAUGAUGUGUUGUUCAUAUGAGAGUUUUUUUUUUGUAUAUAUUUAUAUAUAUAUUAUGUAUGUAUAUGUGAAUAUGUAUGUGUAUCGAUAUAUGUAUUUAUAUAUCUAUGUAUGUAUGUAUUCAAGUAAACAAGUUGAUUUCUUCACUCAAUAUGUUAGAAAUACGUGUAUGCUAUCUUGCAAGAAGAACCCAAAUUCUUUUAAUUAAUAUUUAUGGAGUUUGGAGCAUAACAAAGAGUUUGUUGUGAUUCCCUGACUUGCGGUCGAAAUUUUUGGGGGUGAAAUACCACAAACUAAUAGGCGAACAAAAAAUAACGACAAGUGUAAGAUGAAAGAAAAUAGGCCUAACGGAGAUAAAUGUAAAAAAUAUAAAAAGAAAAGAAUGAAGAUAACAACAACAAUAGCAAACAAAAGCAUAAUAUAAUACAAUAAAAUGUAGACAGAAAUAGUCGGAGAACACAACAAAAAAUUGUGAUGCCUGUUGUAUGCACAAGUGAAAAAUAUUGUAGGCACGUUGUUGUAUUCUUUAGCUGCCUUAAAUCAAAAAAAAAUUCAUAUAGACACGAACAUAGCAAAUCAAACUUCGAGCAGUUGUUGGGCUCAUUAUAAAUAGCUGACAUAAGCAAACAAACCGGCAUAACUGCUUAGAUAAAGCACGCACCGUAUUGUACGUGCUUAUCGAACAAAUGUUUGUUUGUUUUAAAAAAAAAAAAAUAAUUAUAAUAUUAACAAAUUAUGGAAAAAUACUAGAUUUCCAAAUUAUCUAAAAAUUAUGCCGUUUCGGCAACCUGCGACCCUGAUGAAGCAUUUAGACGGGUUUUGUGUGCCUGAUCUGCACUAACUUGACCAUUCUAUUCAGACUAUAUUAGAAAACACGCUGCUGCUUUUACUUGUUUCUAAUACUUUUUAUGAAAAGUUAUGCGAAGUUUGUCGUGAAAUGCGUCGUCAGUCGUCGUAUAUCAUAAACAAACGCUAAUUUUCCUUGGAAAUUCAUCAAAAAUUCAUAAUUGAGGACGAUCGUUUCAUAUAUACAACUAGGCGAGCAGCAUGCGAUCGUAGCGUAUGUAAAGAGAGAAAAAGAAAAAUUCAUCUAAUGCCUUCAGUGCAUGCUUACGACAUUAAUUUGUGCUAAUCGUAAUAUAAUGUAAAAGGGCUGCCUUUGCAUAGGCACCGCCAUAAGUGAGUGGGAGCGAGUGCAUGUGCCGCACGAUCAGCAGGCGUAAAAAUAUUUAUACAUACACACAUACUUGCAUAUUUACAGUUAACACGUGUUCGGCAGUGAUUUCCCAACACUGCAUUUUUCGAGCUACAAACAAAAUUUUACCUGAACGUAUGUAUUUAUAACUGUGCAUGUGUGUAGGCAUACUGCUGCUUUUUACUUCACCUUUUCUUUCUCACACAGCCCAAAGUGAAGUGUUUCUCUAUUUGAACUACCUUAUGACACUUGCCGUGGGGCCACUGAUAGCUAGCUAAAAUUCUGACCACCUAUUCGAAUGUUACACUUUGUUCCGCAUCAUUAACAUUAUGAAAAGUAAUCAUAUUUUUUAUGAGCUCUUUGUGUGUGUGUCGUCUUCUUGUCACUUGACAGACGAUCUUCGGUGGUGCUCUUGAAGAAAGCCGCAAGCUAAAAUAAAUUUUCUUAACGACUUUGCUCAGCAGCAGCUCGCGUCUUUUACAGCACUCGGCCGCCAGCAUGCCAUGCAAUAUGCCAGAGACAUUGUUAAAUAAUAUAUAUAUAUAUAUAUAAUCCGGCGCACGACCUCAACAUGCGCUGUAAAGAUGCUUUGCACCAACGUCAGGCGCCAGCAGACACCUAGUCAGCCGGCAAGCAACUCCAAUUGGUUUAACAAGGCACGUAACACAAAAGAUAGGUAUACCUACAUGCAUACAGUUAUAUUAACUGAUAAACUCUUUGUCUCUUCUUAAUAGCCGUGGUACAAGUACCUACCAUAAUGCUAUGCUUUUAUGCCUACCACAUGGUUUUUAUCUGUCCGUGCGUCUAGCCACCACAUCACAAUUUCUUUAACAAUGACAUUGUCUUCUCAGCGCUCUUUUUGUCAUUUUUCCACUGUCUUCGUUUACUCACUAUUUUGUAUGCUUGCCUAUUCGCUGUGAAGACGCCGAUUUCCUUAAAUAAACAUUCCAUUUCGAUUCAGUUUAUUUUUGACCUGUGACCUUCAAGCAGCCAAGUACGUGGUCUUAAAAUGUUAUGUGAAAAA